rnacentral:rRNA from 1 species
CUGGGUUUAGAACGUCGUGAGACAGUUCGGUCCCUAUCUGCCGUGGGCGCUGGAGAAUUGAGGGGGGCUGCUCCUAGUACGAGAGGACCGGAGUGGACGCAUCACUGGUGUUCGGGUUGUCAUGCCAAUGGCACUGCCCGGUAGCUAAAUGCGGAAGAGAUAAGUGCUGAAAGCAUCUAAGCACGAAACUUGCCCCGAGAUGAGUUCUCCCUGAGACUUUAAGUCUCCUGAAGGAACGUUAAAGACGAUGACGUUGAUAGGCCGGGUGUGUAAGCGCAGCGAUGCGUUGAGCUAACCGGUACUAAUGAACCGUGAGGCUUAACCUUACAACGCCGAAG